AAGCUUUGAUCCAGAGAUUUCCGAAUGGGGAAACCCAGCAUGAGUUAUGUCAUGUUAUCGAUAUGUGAAUACAUAGCAUAUCAGAAGGCACACCCGGAGAACUGAAACAUCUUAGUACCCGGAGGAAGAGAAAGAAAAUUCGAUUCCCUUAGUAGCGGCGAGCGAAACGGGAAGAGCCCAAACCAACAAGCUUGCUUGUUGGGGUUGUAGGACACUCUAUACGGAGUUACAAAGGACGACAUUAGACGAAUCAUCUGGAAAGAUGAAUCAAAGAAGGUAAUAAUCCUGUAGUCGAAAAUGUUGUCUCUCUUGAGUGGAUCCUGAGUACGACGGAGCACGUGAAAUUCCGUCGGAAUCUGGGAGGACCAUCUCCUAAGGCUAAAUACUCUCUAGUGACCGAUAGUGAACCAGUACCGUGAGGGAAAGGUGAAAAGCACCCCGGAAGGGGAGUGAAAUAGAACCUGAAACCGUGUGCUUACAAGUAGUCAGAGCCCGUUAAUGGGUGAUGGCGUGCCUUUUGUAGAAUGAACCGGCGAGUUACGAUUUGAUGCAAGGUUAAGCAGUAAAUGUGGAGCCGUAGCGAAAGCGAGUCUGAAUAGGGCGUUUAGUAUUUGGUCGUAGACCCGAAACCAGGUGAUCUACCCUUGGUCAGGUUGAAGUUCAGGUAACACUGAAUGGAGGACCGAACCGACUUACGUUGAAAAGUGAGCGGAUGAACUGAGGGUAGCGGAGAAAUUCCAAUCGAACCUGGAGAUAGCUGGUUCUCUCCGAAAUAGCUUUAGGGCUAGCCUCAAGUGAUGAUUAUUGGAGGUAGAGCACUGUUUGGACGAGGGGCCCCUCUCGGGUUACCGAAUUCAGACAAACUCCGAAUGCCAAUUAAUUUAACUUGGGAGUCAGAACAUGGGUGAUAAGGUCCGUGUUCGAAAGGGAAACAGCCCAGACCACCAGCUAAGGUCCCAAAAUAUAUGUUAAGUGGAAAAGGAUGUGGCGUUGCCCAGACAACUAGGAUGUUGGCUUAGAAGCAGCCAUCAUUUAAAGAGUGCGUAAUAGCUCACUAGUCGAGUGACACUGCGCCGAAAAUGUACCGGGGCUAAACAUAUUACCGAAGCUGUGGAUUGUCCUUUGGACAAUGGUAGGAGAGCGUUCUAAGGGCGUUGAAGCAUGAUCGUAAGGACAUGUGGAGCGCUUAGAAGUGAGAAUGCCGGUGUGAGUAGCGAAAGACGGGUGAGAAUCCCGUCCACCGAUUGACUAAGGUUUCCAGAGGAAGGCUCGUCCGCUCUGGGUUAGUCGGGUCCUAAGCUGA
rnacentral:rRNA from 1 species